rnacentral:rRNA from 1 species
GACGAACGCUGGCGGCGUGCUUAACACAUGCCAGUCGAACGAAGCUUGAUUACGGAUUCUUCGGGUGAAGUAUGAUAUGACUGAGUGGCGGACGGGGGAGUAACGCGUGAGUAAUCUGCUCUCCAGAGGGGGAUAGCGUUUGGAACCGAACGGUAAUACCGCAUCAUGUUUUUUGACCGCAUGAUUGAAAUACCAAAGAUUUAUCGCUGAAGGAUGGACUUGUGUCUGAUUUGGUAGUUGGUGGGGUAACGGCCUACCAAGCCGACGAUCAGUAGCCGGACUGGGAGAUUGAUCGGCCACAUUGGGACUGAGACACGGCCCAGACUCCUACGGGAGGCAGCAGUGAGAAAUAUUGCACAAUGGGCGCAAGACUGAUGCAGCAACGCCGCGUGAAGGAAGACGGUUUUCGGAUUGUAAACUUCUGUUCUUAGUGAAGAAUAAUGACGGUAGCUAAGGAGCAAGCCACGGCUAACUACGUG